rnacentral:rRNA from 1 species
GGCGGCAGGCCUAACACAUGCAAGUCGAGCGGAAACGAGUUAUCUGAACCUUCGGGGAACGAUAACGGCGUCGAGCGGCGGACGGGUGAGUAAUGCCUAGGAAAUUGCCCUGAUGUGGGGGAUAACCAUUGGAAACGAUGGCUAAUACCGCAUGAUGCCUACGGGCCAAAGAGGGGGACCUUCGGGCCUCUCGCGUCAGGAUAUGCCUAGGUGGGAUUAGCUAGUUGGUGAGGUAAGGGCUCACCAAGGCGACGAUCCCUAGCUGGUCUGAGAGGAUGAUCAGCCACACUGGAACUGAGACACGGUCCAGACUCCUACGGGAGGCAGCAGUGGGGAAUAUUGCACAAUGGGCGCAAGCCUGAUGCAGCCAUGCCGCGUGUGUGAAGAAGGCCUUCGGGUUGUAAAGCACUUUCAGUCGUGAGGAAGGUGGUGUAGUUAAUAGCUGCAUUAUUUGACGUUAGCGACAGAAGAAGCACCGGCUAACUCCGUGCCAGCAGCCGCGGUAAUACGGAGGGUGCGAGCGUUAAUCGGAAUUACUGGGCGUAAAGCGCAUGCAGGUGGUUUGUUAAGUCAGAUGUGAAAGCCCGGGGCUCAACCUCGGAAUAGCAUUUGAAACUGGCAGACUAGAGUACUGUAGAGGGGGGUAGAAUUUCAGGUGUAGCGGUGAAAUGCGUAGAGAUCUGAAGGAAUACCGGUGGCGAAGGCGGCCCCCUGGACAGAUACUGACACUCAGAUGCGAAAGCGUGGGGAGCAAACAGGAUUAGAUACCCUGGUAGUCCACGCCGUAAACGAUGUCUACUUGGAGGUUGUGGCCUUGAGCCGUGGCUUUCGGAGCUAACGCGUUAAGUAGACCGCCUGGGGAGUACGGUCGCAAGAUUAAAACUCAAAUGAAUUGACGGGGGCCCGCACAAGCGGUGGAGCAUGUGGUUUAAUUCGAUGCAACGCGAAGAACCUUACCUACUCUUG